UCCUACGGGAGGCAGCAGUGGGGAAUAUUGGACAAUGGGGGGAACCCUGAUCCAGCCAUGCCGCGUGUGUGAAGAAGGCCCUCGGGUUGUAAAGCACUUUCAGCGAGGAAGAACGCCUAGCUGUUAAUACCCGCUAGGAAAGACAUCACUCGCAGAAGAAGCACCGGCUAACUCCGUGCCAGCAGCCGCGGUAAUACGGAGGGUGCAAGCGUUAAUCGGAAUUACUGGGCGUAAAGCGCGCGUAGGUGGCUUGAUAAGCCGGUUGUGAAAGCCCCGGGCUCAACCUGGGAACGGCAUCCGGAACUGUCAAGCUAGAGUGCAGGAGAGGAAGGUAGAAUUCCCGGUGUAGCGGUGAAAUGCGUAGAGAUCGGGAGGAAUACCAGUGGCGAAGGCGGCCUUCUGGACUGACACUGACACUGAGGUGCGAAAGCGUGGGUAGCAAACAGGAUUAGAUACCCUGGUAGUCCACGCCGUAAACGAUGUCGACCAGCCGUUGGGUGCCUAGCGCACUUUGUGGCGAAGUUAACGCGAUAAGUCGACCGCCUGGGGAGCACGGCCGCAAGGUUAAAACUCAAAUGAAUUGACGG
rnacentral:rRNA from 1 species